rnacentral:rRNA from 1 species
GAUGAACGCUGGCGGCGUGCCUAAUACAUGCAAGUCGAGCGGCAACAUGGACUUCGGUCUGAUGGCGAGCGGCGGACGGGUGAGUAACGCGUAAGAAUGUACCCCAAACUGAGGGAUAACUGCUCGAAAGAGUAGCUAAUACCGCAUGUGCUCUACGGAGUAAAGCUUCGGCGGUUUGGGAACAGCUUGCGACCGAUUAGCUAGUUGGUAAGGUAAAGGCAUACCAAGGCGAUGAUCGGUAGCUGGUCUGAGAGAACGAUCAGCCACCCGGGGCCGGAGACCGGCCCCAGCCUCCAAGGGGAGGCAGAGGUGGGAAAUUUUGGAAAAGGGGCGAAAGCCUGAUCCAGCAAUUCCGCGUGGGUGAAGAAGGUCUUCGGUUUGAAAAGCCCUUUCGGCGGGGACGAUGAUGACGGUACCCGAAGAAGAAGCCCCGGCUAACUUCGUGCCAGCCGCCGCUGUAA